AGUUUGAUCCUGGCUCAGGAUGAACGCUGGCGGCGUGCCUAACACAUGCAAGUCGAGCGGAGCAGUCUUGAUGAAGUUUUCGGAUGGAAUCAGGAUUGACUUAGCGGCGGACGGGUGAGUAACACGUGGAUAACCUGCCUUAUACUGGGGGAUAACAGCCAGAAAUGGCUGCUAAUACCGCAUAAGCGCACGGCGCCGCAUGGCGCAGUGUGAAAAACUCCGGUGGUAUAAGAUGGAUCCGCGCCUGAUUAGCUAGUUGGCGGGGCAGCGGCCCACCAAGGCGACGAUCAGUAGCCGGCCUGAGAGGGCGACCGGCCACAUUGGGACUGAGACACGGCCCAAACUCCUACGGGAGGCAGCAGUGGGGAAUAUUGCACAAUGGGGGGAACCCUGAUGCAGCGACGCCGCGUGAGUGAAGAAGUAUUUCGGUAUGUAAAGCUCUAUCAGCAGGGAAGAAGAUGACGGUACCUGACUAAGAAGCCCCGGCUAACUACGUGCCAGCAGCCGCGGUAAUACGUAGGGGGCAAGCGUUAUCCGGAUUUACUGGGUGUAAAGGGAGCGUAGACGGCAGGGCAAGUCUGGAGUGAAAGCCCGGGGCCCAACCCCGGGACUGCUUUGGAAACUGCCAUGCUAGAGUGCUGGAGAGGUAAGCGGAAUUCCUAGUGUAGCGGUGAAAUGCGUA
rnacentral:rRNA from 1 species